rnacentral:misc_RNA from 1 species
GAUGAAGAACGCAGCGAAAUGCGAUAAGUAAUGUGAAUUGCAGAAUUCAGUGAAUCAUCGAAUCUUUGAACGCACAUUGCGCCCCUUGGUAUUCCGGGGGGCAUGCCUCUUCCAGCGUCAUUUCACCCCUCAAGCUCUGCUUGGUUUUGGGCCGCGCCGGCAACGGCGGGCCUCGAAAAUAGUGGCGACGCCAUCGUGCUCUCAGCGUAGUAAUUCUUCUCGCUCUGGAGGUCCGGUCGUGUGCUCGCCAGCAACCCCCAAUUUUUUUCAGGUUGACCUCGGAUCAGGUAGGGAUACCCGCUGAACUUAAGCAUAUCAAUAAGCGGAGGA